GUGUCAGCAGCCGCGGUAAUACAGAGGGUGCAAGCGUUGUUCGGAAUUAUUGGGCGUAAAGCGCGUGUAGGCGGUGAUGCAUGUCGGGUGUGAAAGCCCUCAGCUUAACUGAGGAAGUGCGCCCGAAACUGCAUCGCUGGAGUGUCGGAGAGGAAGGCGGAAUUCCCGGUGUAGAGGUGAAAUUCGUAGAUAUCGGGAGGAACACCAGUGGCGAAGGCGGCCUUCUGGACGAACACUGACGCUGAGACGCGAAAGCGUGGGUAGCAAACAGGAUUAGAUACCCUGGUAGUCC
rnacentral:rRNA from 1 species